AAGAAGAUAAGUUAAAAUUGUAAACUGCCUGGUUCAUACUCAGGAAAUGCUUUUGCUCUUCUUAUAGUG
rnacentral:tRNA from 1 species